AUACACUAGUUCCCAUAUGAUCAUCAAAGUUAAGCAAUGUCAAGCUUGGUCAUUACUUAGAUGAGUAACCACUUGGGAAUACCAGGUGCUAU